UACGGAGGGUGCAAGCGUUAAUCGGAAUUACUGGGCGUAAAGAGUGCGUAGGUGGUUUAAUAAGUUAUCUGUGAAAGCCCCGGGCUCAACCUGGGAAGGUCAGAUAAAACUGUUGGACUUUGAGUAUGGGAGAGGGUAGUGGAAUUUCCGGUGUAGCGGUGAAAUGCGUAGAGAUCGGAAGGAACACCAGUGGCGAAGGCGGCUACCUGGCCUAAUACUGACACUGAGGCACGAAAGCGUGGGGAGCAAACAGG
rnacentral:rRNA from 1 species